AUUGAACGCUGGCGGCAGGCCUAACACAUGCAAGUCGAACGAGUGGCGGACGGGUGAGUAAUGUCUGGGAAACUGCCUGAUGGAGGGGGAUAACUACUGGAAACGGUAGCUAAUACCGCAUACCAUCAGAUGUGCCCAGAUGGGGUUAGCUUGUUGGUGGGGUAACGGCUCACCAAGGCGACGAUCCCUAGCUGGUCUGAGAGGAUGACACGCCACACUGAAGCUGAGACCGGGUCAAGACUCCUAGGGGAGGCAGCAAGGGGGAAUAUUGCACAAUGGGCGCAAGCCUGAUGCAGCCAUGCCGGGUGUAUGAAGAGGGCCUGCGGAUUGUAAAGUACUUUCAGCGGGGAGGCGUUACCGGCAGAGGAAGCACCGGCGAACUCCGUGCCAGCAGCCGCGGUAUAC
rnacentral:rRNA from 1 species